GGCGUGCUUAACACAUGCAAGUCGAACGGUGAAGCCAAGCUUGCUUGGUGGAUCAGUGGCGAACGGGUGAGUAACACGUGAGCAACCUGCCCUGAACUCUGGGAUAAGCGCUGGAAACGGCGUCUAAUACUGGAUAUGAGCUGCGGAGGCAUCUUCGUGGUUGGAAAGAUUUUUCGGUUUGGGAUGGGCUCGCGGCCUAUCAGCUUGUUGGUGAGGUAAUGGCUCACCAAGGCGUCGACGGGUAGCCGGCCUGAGAGGGUGACCGGCCACACUGGGACUGAGACACGGCCCAGACUCCUACGGGAGGCAGCAGUGGGGAAUAUUGCACAAUGGGCGGAAGCCUGAUGCAGCAACGCCGCGUGAGGGAUGACGGCCUUCGGGUUGUAAACCUCUUUUAGCAGGGAAGAAGCGAAAGUGACGGUACCUGCAGAAAAAGCGCCGGCUAACUACGUGCCAGCAGCCGCGGUAAUACGUAGGGCGCAAGCGUUAUCCGGAAUUAUUGGGCGUAAAGAGCUCGUAGGCGGUUUGUCGCGUCUGCUGUGAAAACCCGAGGCUCAACCUCGGGCCUGCAGUGGGUACGGGCAGACUAGAGUGCGGUAGGGGAGAUUGGAAUUCCUGGUGUAGCGGUGGAUGCGCAGAUAUCAGGAGGAACACCGAUGGCGAAGGCAGAUCUCUGGGCCCGUACUGACGCUGAGGAGCGAAAGGUUGGGAGCAAACAGCUAGAUACCUUGGUAGUCCACCCCGUAAACGUUGGGAACUAGUUGUGGGGUCCAUUCCACGGAUUCCGUGACGCAGCUAACGCAUUAAGUUCCCCGCCUGGGGAGUACGGCCGCAAGGCUAAAACUCAAAGGAAUUGACGGGGACCCGCACAAGCGGCGGAGCAUGCGGAUUAAUUCGAUGCAACGCGAAGAACCUUACCAAGGCUUGACAUACACGAGAACGCUGCAGAAAUGUAGAACUCUUUGGACACUCGUGAACAGGUGGUGCAUGGUUGUCGUCAGCUCGUGUCGUGAGAUGUUGGGUUAAGUCCCGCAACGAGCGCAACCCUCGUUCUAUGUUGCCAGCACGUAAUGGUGGGAACUCAUGGGAUACUGCCGGGGUCAACUCGGAGGAAGGUGGGGAUGACGUCAAAUCAUCAUGCCCCUUAUGUCUUGGGCUUCACGCAUGCUACAAUGGCCGGUACAAAGGGCUGCAAUACCGCGAGGUGGAGCGAAUCCCAAAAAGCCGGUCCCAGUUCGGAUUGAGGUCUGCAACUCGACCUCAUGAAGUCGGAGUCGCUAGUAAUCGCAGAUCAGCAACGCUGCGGUGAAUACGUUCCCGGGUCUUGUACACACCGCCCGUCAAGUCAUGAAAGUCGGUAACACCUGAAGCCAGUGGCCCAACCCUUGUGGAGGGAGCCGUCGAAGGUGGGAUCGGUAAUUAGGAAUAGGUCGUAACAAGG
rnacentral:rRNA from 1 species